rnacentral:rRNA from 1 species
AUUGAACGCUGGCGGCAGGCCUAACACAUGCAAGUCGAACGGUAACAGGAAGACGCUUGCUUCUUUGCUGACGAGUGGCGGACGGGUGAGUAAUGUCUGGGAAACUGCCUGAUGGAGGGGGAUAACUACUGGAAACGGUAGCUAAUACCGCAUAACGUCGCAAGACCAAAGAGGGGGACCUUCGGGCCUCUUGCCAUCGGAUGUGCCCAGAUGGGAUUAGCUAGUAGGUGGGGUAACGGCUCACCUAGGCGACGAUCCCUAGCUGGUCUGAGAGGAUGACCAGCCACACUGGAACUGAGACACGGUCCAGACUCCUACGGGAGGCAGCAGUGGGGAAUAUUGCACAAUGGGCGCAAGCCUGAUGCAGCCAUGCCGCGUGUAUGAAGAAGGCCUUCGGGUUGUAAAGUACUUUCAGCGGGGAGGAAGGGAGUAAAGUUAAUACCUUGACUCAUUGACGUUACCCGCAGAAGAAGCACCGGCUAACUCCGUG